CUGAUGCCCAUGGAGGGAGGGUGAGAACCCUCGCCGGGUUCGAGCAGAGCAGCUUGCUGCGAUGAACGGCCAACGGCCGCCCCGAAGGGGUGAGCCACACAGUGGCGAAUCAAUCCCGACCCACCGCCA
rnacentral:sRNA from 1 species